rnacentral:lncRNA from 1 species
GUAGACAUUGAAAUAUAAGAUAGAAUACACCUAAAAUUGUUCAACAACUCAGAUUGAAGAGCCAAACAAUUUUCAUGAACUGUCUCCUUCUCUUCUCCUUGCGGCAGAUUGGGGGAGGAUGAUUUCUGGGGGGUUUGUGUGAUGUAGAAUGGAUUAUGGAUGGUGUAGGGGCACGGCAAGGCUUGGGGGUAGUGUAUGGGUGUUGUGUGGAAGGUGUGGAGAUGAAGAAUGGUGGUGGAAAUCGGCAGAGAUGGAGGAGAAGGUGCGGCAGAUUAUAGAACUAGGGUUUCUGGAAUUUUGAAUGAAUGUAGCAGGUUCUUGGGUAUUUGAAUGAUGUAGAAUGGAUGGAGGAUGUAUGGAAGUGUUUAGGGUUGAUGGGUGGUGCGGCUAGGGUGGUUUUUUUGGCAGAAAUUUUGGUGAAUGGUGAAGGAAUAGGGCUGUUGAGGAUGGAGAAUGGUUUCUGGCGUGAAGGAUUAUUUUAUGGAUGAGUGGGAAUGUUUUGUGGCUGCAACAAGGAGGUUUAUUUAAAGGAAAACAGAAAUUAAAACCCUAGGUUGAUUAGGAA